UAGGGCAUCACGAACCAUCCUGCUUCAAGGGAGCCUGCGGGUCUGACUGCAGCUUCAGCUCUGACCUGGAGUUCUGGGGCUUCUCUGCGGGGCACCAGUCUGUAUGCUCCAUUUUAGAUAAUAAAAAUCGGCAUAUUCUGUGGUGGGCAGGAUCCGGGGUUCACCUGCAGAUGAACAGGGCAGGAAAAGCUUGAUGGGGUGUCGGGGGAAUCUGGUUGGCCUUAAAGGGAAUUAAUUUGGGGCCCUGUUCCUGAAUUGGUAGGUAGCCUGCAUGUAAGGCUGAAGUCGGUUUGGCCAGAGCAUGGGCUGGAGUGCUACCACCCUGCUACACAGACAAUGCCACAGUCUCGCUUUUCCUAUUUUUUUUUAAAUAAAAUGUUGUGAACAACA
rnacentral:lncRNA from 1 species